AGUGAACGCUGGCGGUAGGCCUAACACAUGCACGUCGAAUGGCCGCACAGUAAGAGCUUGCUUUUAUGGGUGGCGAGUGGCGGCCGGGCGCGGAAUCCCUUGGACUCUACUUUUUAGUGGGGGACACCGUCGGGCAACCUACGUUAAUACAGCAUACGUCCUACGGGUGAAAGCUGGGGCCAUUCGGACUUCGCGCGAUCGAUUGACCCGAUGUCGGAUUAGCUAGUUGGCGGGGUAAAGGCCCACCAAGGCGACGGUCCGUAGCUGGUCGGAGAGGAGGAUCAACCACACGGGAACUAGGACACGGUCCGGACUCCUGCGGGAGUGAGCAGUGAGGAAUAUUGAACAAUGGGCGCAAGCCUGAUCCAGCCAUACCGCGUAGAUGAAGAAGUCCUUCGGGUUGUAAAACCCUUUUGUUGGGAAAGAAAAGCGGCAGGUUAAUACCCCGCUGUUCUGACGGUACCCAAAGAAUAAGCUCCGGCUGACUUCGUG
rnacentral:rRNA from 1 species